CAUGCAAGUCGAGGGGCAGCGCGGGAUAGCAAUAUCCUGGCGGCGACCGGCGGAAGGGUGCGUAACGCGUGAGCGACAUGCCCGUUGCCCGGGGACAACCGGUGGAAACGCCGACUAAUCCCCGAUGGGAUACGAUGCUUCAUGGCAUUGUAUUGAAAGUUACGGCGGCGACGGAUUGGCUCGCGUCCGAUUAGCUCGUUGGCGGGGUAACGGCCCACCAAGGCUACGAUCGGUAGGGGUUCUGAGAGGAAGGCCCCCCACAAUGGGACUGAGACACGGCCCAUACUCCUACGGGAGGCAGCAGUGAGGAAUAUUGGUCAAUGGGCGGAAGCCUGAACCAGCCAUGCCGCGUGCGGGAAGGAGGCCCUAUGGGCUGUGAACCGCUUUUGCCUGGGGGCAAUAAGGGCGUCGCGCACGUCCGAUGAGAGUACCAGGCGAAUAAGCAUCGGCUAACUCCGUGCCAGCAGCCGCGGUAAUACGGGGGAUGCGAGCGUUAUCCGGAUUCAUUGGGUUUAAAGGGUGCGUAGGCUGUGCGUCAAGUCGGGGGUGAAAUUCCGGUGCUCAACACCGGGGCUGCCCUUGAUACUGUCGCGCUGGAGUGCGGAUGCCGCCGGAGGAAUGAGUGGUGUAGCGGUGAAAUGCUUAGAUAUCACUCAGAACACCGAUUGCGAAGGCAUCUGGCGAAUCCGUAACUGACGCUGAGGCACGAAAGCGUGGGGAUAGAACAGGAUUAGAUACCCUGGUAUUCCACGCCGUAAACGAUGAUGGCUAACCGCCGGCGACACACUGUCGGUGGCCAAGCGAAAGCGAUAAGCCAU
rnacentral:rRNA from 1 species